rnacentral:rRNA from 1 species
AUGGUAGGAUAGAGGCCUACCAUGGUUUUAACGGGUAACGGGGAAUUAGGGUUCGAUUCCGGAGAGGGAGCCUGAGAAACGGCUACCACAUCCAAGGAAGGCAGCAGGCGCGCAAAUUACCCAAUCCCAACACGGGGAGGUAGUGACAAUAAAUAACAAUAUGGGGCUCUUACGAGUCUCGUAAUUGGAAUGAGUACAAUUUAAAUCUCUUAACGAGGAACAAUUGGAGGGCAAGUCUGGUGCCAGCAGCCGCGGUAAUUCCAGCUCCAAUAGCGUAUAUUAAAGUUGUUGCAGUUAAAAAGCUCGUAGUUGAAUUUCGGAAUCCAUCCGUCGGUCGGGCUUCACGGUCCGCACUGGUGCGAUGGAUUCCUACCUUCUGAAUAACCAGCAUGCUAUUAAUUUGGUGCGUUGGGGAAGCAGGACUGUUACCUUGAAAAGAUUAGAGUGCUUAAAGCAGGCUAGUGCCUGAAUACAUUAGCAUGGAAUAAUGAAAUAGGACGGCAUGGUUCUAUUUUGUUGGUUUCUAGGAUCACCGUAAUGAUUAAUAGGGAUAGUUGGGGGCAUUAGUAUUCAAUUGUCAGAGGUGAAAUUCUUGGAUUUAUUGAAGACUAACUUCUGCGAAAGCAUUUGCCAAGGAUGUUUUCAUUAAUCAAGAACGAAAGUUAGGGGAUCGAAGACGAUCAGAUACUGUCGUAGUCUUAACCAUAAACUAUGCCGACUAGGGAUCGGACGAUGUUGAUUUUUUAAUGACUCGUUCGGCGCCUUACGGGAAACCAAAGUGUUUGGG